rnacentral:rRNA from 1 species
AUUGAGCGCUGGCGGCAGGCCUAACACAUGCAAGUCGAGCGGCAGCGGGAAAGUAGCUUGCUACUUUUGCCGGCGAGCGGCGGACGGGUGAGUAAUGCCUGGGGAUCUGCCCAGUCGAGGGGGAUAACUACUGGAAACGGUAGCUAAUACCGCAUACGCCCUACGGGGGAAAGCAGGGGACCUUCGGGCCUUGCGCGAUUGGAUGAACCCAGGUGGGAUUAGCUAGUUGGUGAGGUAAUGGCUCACCAAGGCGACGAUCCCUAGCUGGCCUGGGAGGAUGAUCAGCCACACUGGAACUGAGACACGGUCCAGACUCCUACGGGAGGCAGCAGUGGGGAAUAUUGCACAAUGGGGGAAACCCUGAUGCAGCCAUGCCGCGUGUGUGAAGAAGGCCUUCGGGUUGUAAAGCACUUUCAGCGAGGAGGAAAGGUUGGUAGCUAAUAACUGCCAGCUGUGACGUUACUCGCAGAAGAAGCACCGGCUAACUCCGUGCCAGCAGCCGCGGUAA